rnacentral:rRNA from 1 species
CGCUCUGUGAGGGGCUUUUACCCUAUCAGUUUGUUGGUGAGGUGACGGCUCACCAAGGCAGUGACGGGUAGGGGGUGUGAGAGCAUGACCCCCCACAUGGGAACUGCGACACGGUCCCAACUCCUACGGGAGGCAGCAGUCUAGAAAUUUGGGCAAUGGGCGAAAGCCUGACCCAGCGACGCCGCGUGAGGGAUGACGUCCUUCGGGAUGUAAACCUUUGUUGAGGGGGACGAUAAUGACGGUACCCCUCGAGGAAGCCUCGGCUAACUCCGUGCCAGCGGCCGCGGUAAUACGGAGGAGGCGAGCGUUGUCCGGAAUCACUGGGCGUAAAGGGUGUGUAGGUGUCCUGGUGGGUCAGAUGUGAAAUCCAACCGCUCAACGGUUGAACUACAUUUGAAACUAUCAGGAUAGAGGACACUAGGGGAGAGUGGAACUCGCGGUGUAGCGAUAGAAUGCGUGGAUAUCGCGAGGAAUGCCGAUGGCGAAGGCGGCUCUCUGGGGUGUUCUUCGUAUGAAGAGCUAUUCGAUUCAGAUCUUCGGAUUAAGAUUGAAUGACCCUGACACUGAAACACGAAAGCUGGGGGAGCGAACGGGAUUAGAUACCCCGGUAGUCCCAGCCAUAAACGAUGUGUACUUGGCAUGUGCUUGUACUAGUGCGUGCCGUAGUAACCUGUUAAGUGCACCGCCUGGGGAGUAUGCUCGCAAGGGUGAACUCAAGGAAUUGACGGGGACCCGCACAGCGUGGAGGAUGUGGUUU